rnacentral:rRNA from 1 species
UGAUACUAAUAGAUCGAGGACUUAACCAUCCCGAACACGGAAGUUAAGCUUCUCAGCGCCGAUGGUAGUUGGGGCCUUGCCCCUGUGAGAGUAGGACGCUGCCGGGCC